UGUAGAAUGAAGAGGAAUCAUGCAAAUAAUCUCAACCCCAAUAAAAAUCUGCUCCCUGUGACUUGAUGGAUCUGUAAACUUGGAAGAAGCUCUCAUCAUUUUUAAAUUCUUCCCUCAUAAGAGUGAGUCGGGGCCCGGAUUGGGACCAUCUUAGAGCCAAUGCAGUGGUCGAGAGCCCUUGAAGGUCACUGCUGUGCUUUGGGAUGGAGGCCACUGUGUUGUUCAGCAAAAGCUUUUCGGGUCUUCUGUAACUGAGCAGAUGAGAAUAUCUUCCGAGGAGGUAACCAUCAUCUGUAACCAAAGCCCACAAAUGAAUUCAAGAUGGGCUCAUCUCGUCUAUCAAACUCCCUUCUACAGGGUCUGGUGCUACAGCCUGGCUCGGGGCAUUGAAUUGGGAUGUGCCCUUGAGCCCUGGAGAGCUGUGGGGAGUAAGUGCACUAUCGACUCUCCAUCUACAAAACUUGGAGCAGCCAGUAGUUGCACCGCACAGACCGUGGUCAAAGCCCAGCAGCAGCAGGAAGGCCUGCUGAGCGAGGACUCUUGUACUCACAAAUCUUUGGUGAAUUAAGAUGACACCUUCUGCAAUACUCUUAAGCGCUCGGUACAAAAAAGCAAACGUGCAGCACUGUCCUACAUGGAGUUUUUUGCACGAGCUCAGCUGGCAUAACAGGAUGGGCGUAGAGGUGGGAAGGUGGGGACAAAGAAUGUCUUCCAUGGUGGAAGGAACCAGGGAGGGAAUAAAAGCAUUUUCAUUUAGCAAAAAGUGAAAUUGAUGAUGAAGAAAAUGUAAUAUUGAUUUCUUUCUUCUUCCUGCUGGCUCUGAAGCUUUAAAUGAAGUCAUAGAGCAAUGGAGACUCCAACUUUGAUUGGUUGUGCUUCGACCUAAUCUCAUUUUAAGAGCCUAGUUUGUAUGAUUGUUGGUGACAUGCAGAGGUUUCUCUUUAGGUGGAGUGAGGCUAUCAUUCCUCCAACAUGCCAUUAAGUCAAUCAGAAAUUGUGCUGGAGACCUCCUAUCCUGUACUUGCAGAUGGGCUUCUUCCCUGUACCAUACCUUGGCCCCAACAGCAGCUCUGCUCAGAAACUCAAUGAGCAGUACCGCUUGCCCAAAGAAGAACUUUUCAGAAAAAUGGGUAUAAGUGGUGGUUCAUCAAGCUGAAGACUACACAGAGAUUUUAUUUAUUUAUUCAUGAGAGACACAGAGAGGCAGAGACAUAAGCAGAAGGAGA